UACGUAGGGAGCGAGCGUUAUCCGGAAUUACUGGGCGUAAAGCGCACGCAGGCGGUUCGCCAAGUUUGGAGUGACAGUUGUCGGCUCAACCGACAAAGGACUUCAAAAACUGGUGAACUUGAGGACGAGAGAGGAACAUGGAACUCCAGGUGUAGUAGUGAAAUGCGUAGAUAUCUGGAAGAACACCAAUGGCGAAGGCAAUGUUCUGGCUCGUUUCUGACGCUCAGGUGCGAAAGCCAGGGGAGCGAACGGG
rnacentral:rRNA from 1 species